CGUACUUCAUGAUAUCAGAACUGUGGGGACACAGAGACAAAGGACGAGCCGGGAAUGGAAAAACCGGUGCAAGCGAGGUUGCUUCAUGGGAGGGAAAGCCCCCAUGUAUAAGGCGAAUGCGUGAAGCGUAGCGAACUUAAAAGUAGCGAAGCGUGUGGAGUCACUGUCAGGAAAAGCCGCUAUUGCGUAUCAUGAACCCGUACCGUAAACCGCCACAGGUGGAUGAGGAGAGAAUCCUAAGGCCGACGGAAGAAGCAUUGUUAAGGAAUUCGGCAAAAUGACCCCGUAACUUCGGGAGAAGGGGUGCCUACGAAUGUAGGCCGCAGAGAAUUGGCCCAAGCAACUGUUUAGCAAAAACACAGGUUUAUGCGAAACCGAAAGGUGAAGUAUAUGAGCUGACGCCUGCCCGGUGCUGGAAGGUUAAGGGGAGAGCUUAGAGGCAACUCGAAGGUUCGAACUUAAGCCCCAGUAAACGGCGGCCGUAACAAUAACGGUCCUAAGGUAGCGAAAUUCCUUGUCGGGUAAGUUCCGACCCGCACGAAAGGCGUAAUGAUUUGGGCACUGUCUCGGCAAUGCAUCCGGUGAAAUUGAAAUACCAGUGAAGAUGCUGGUUACCCGCGCCAGGACGGAAAGACCCCAUGGAGCUUUACUCCAGUUUGAUGCUGGGAUUCGGUACUGCAUGUACAGGAUAGGCGGGAGACUAGGAAGAUAUAACGCCAGUUGUAUCAGAGUCGCUGUUGGGAUACCGCCCUUGUAGUACUGGGUUUCUAACCUGCCACCGUGAACCGGUGGAGGGACAACGUCAGGCGGGGAGUUUGACUGGGGCGGUCGCCUCCGAAAGGGUAUCGGAGGCGCUCAAAGGUUCCCUCAGAAUGGUUGGAAACCAUUCGAAGAGUGCAAAGGCAGAAGGGAGCUUGACUGCGAGGUCGACGGACCGAGCAGGUACGAAAGUAGGACUUAGUGAUCCGGUGGUAGAAAGUGGGAUUGCCAUCGCUCAACGGAUAAAAGCUACCCUGGGAUAACAGGCUGAUCACUCCCAAGAGUUCACAUCGACGGAGUGGUUUGGCACCUCGAUGUCGGCUCAUCGCAUCCUGGGGCUGUAGCAGGUCCCAAGGGUUGGGCUGUUCGCCCAUUAAAGCGGUACGCGAGCUGGGUUCAGAACGUCGUGAGACAGUUCGGUCCCUAUCCGGCGCGGGCGUAGGAUAUCUGAAAGGAGCUGGCCUUAGUACGAGAGGACCGGGCUGGACGGACCGCUGGUGUAUCUGUUGUCAUACCAAUGGCAUAGCAGGGUAGCCAAGUCUGGAAGGGAUAAACGCUGAAGGCAUCUAAGCGUGAAGCCCCCCUUAAGAUAAGAUAUCCCUGGAGUUAAUCCAGUAAGACCCCUUGAAGACGACGAGGUAGAUAGGGCAGAGGUGGAAGUGUGGUAACACAUGGAGCUGACUGUCACUAAUAGGUCGAGGGCUUGAUC
rnacentral:rRNA from 1 species